GAUGAAGAACGUAGCGAAAUGCGAUAAGUAAUGUGAAUUGCAGAAUUCAGUGAAUCAUCGAAUCUUUGAACGCACAUUGCGCCCCUUGGUAUUCCGAGGGGCAUGCCUAUUCGAGCGUCAUUAUCACCCCUCAAGCCUAGCUUGGUGUUGAGGCCUGCUGUCAAGGCAGCCUCUAAAAUCAGUGGCAGUGCUGUCAGGCUCUAAGCGUAGUAAAUCUAAUUGCUAUAGACACCUGGUGGACACUCGCCAGAACCCCCCCAUUUUUUAAUGAUUGACCUCGGAUUAGGUAGGGAUACCCGCUGAACUUAAGCAUAUCAAUAAGCGGAGGA
rnacentral:misc_RNA from 1 species